UACGGGGGGGCAAGCGUUGUUCGGAAUUACUGGGCGUAAAGAGCGCGCAGGCGGUCGUUCAAGUCGAGUGUGAAAGCCCCCGGCUCAACUGGGGAGGGUCAUUCGAUACUGAUCGACUUGAAGGCAGGAGAGGGAAGUGGAAUUCCCGGUGUAGUGGUGAAAGUGCGGUAGAUAUCGGGAGGAACACCUGUGGCGAAGGCGGCCGACUGGGCCG
rnacentral:rRNA from 1 species